ncrna:unclassified sequences L2-Alphaproteobacteria ribosomal protein leader
GCGGACCUACGGGGCCGCAUACAAGCAAACGGAAGACAGAGA